rnacentral:rRNA from 1 species
AGAGUACCGCGGGACACGAGAAACCCCGUGGGAAGCAGGGGGGACCACCCUCCAAGGCAAAACACAGAUAUCGACCGAUAGCGCAUAGUACCAUGAGGGAAAGGUGAAAAGCACCCCGGGAGGGGAAUGAAACAGAACCUGAAACCGUAUGUUUACAAGCAGUCGGAGACCGUAUAUAUAUCAGGUCGACGGCGUGCCUAUUGAAGAAUGAACCGGCGAGUUAUGAGGUCCAGCGAGGUUAAGCAGGAAAUGCGGAGCCGAAGCGAAAGCGAGUCUUAACAGGGCGAAUAGUUGGACUGCAUAGACCCGAAACCACAGUGAUCUACCCAUGUCCAGGUUGAAGCACAGGUAAAAAUGUGUGGAGGACCGAACCUAUAUCCGUUGAAAAGGGUUAGGAUGAGGUGUGGGUAGGGGUGAAAUUCCAAUCGAACGUGGAGAUAGCUGGUUCUCCCCGAAAUAGCUUUAGGGCUAGCCUCAUGGCGAGAGUACAGGCGGUAGAGCACUGAACGGGGUAGGGGCCUAUCCGGCUACUGAACCUAAUCAAACUGCGAAUGGCUGUACUUAUCCAUGGGAGUCAGACUGUGAGUAAUAAGGCCCAUAGUCAAGAGGGAAACAGCCCAGACCAACAGCUAAGGUCCCCAAUGCCGUACUAAGUGGCGAAGGAUGUGGAAUUUCAAAAACAACCAGGAUGUUGGCUCAGAAGCAGCCACCAUUAAAAGAGUGCGUAAUAGCUCACUGGUCGAGAGACUCUGCGCCGAAGAUGUCCGGGGCUAAAGUACGGAACCGAAGCUUUGGCAAUUAACAUAAGUUAAUUGGGUAGGGGAGCGUUCCUGCAUGGGAGAAGCCUGACCGGAAGGACAGGUGGACAGGCAGGAAGAGAGAAUGCCGGUAUGAGUAGCGAAAAGAAGGGUGAGAAUCCCUUCCACCGAAAGCCUAAGGGUUCCUGGGCAACGAUCGUCGUCCCAGGGUAAGUCGGGACCUAAUCCGAGGCGGAGACGCGUAGGAGAUGGACAACAGGUUGAAAUUCCUGUACUGGCUGAGGCCGUUUGAGCGAAGGAGUGACACAGGAAGGAAGGCGCGCGUGCGAAUGGAAGAGCACGUCCAAGCAGGUAGGUCGGGAGACAGGCAAAUCCGUUUCCCAUAAGGCCGAGAUGCGAUGGGGAGCUUCUGGAGACAGAAGCGAAGGGGCUGGCACUAAACUGUCGAGAAAAGCUUCUAGUGAGGACUCAGGCACCCGUACCGAAACCGACACAGGUAGGCAGGAUGAGAAUUCUAAGGUGCGCGGGAAAACCCUCGUUAAGGAACUCGGCAAAAUAUAUCCGUAACUUCGGGAAAAGGAUAACCCAGCGUACGUGAAGUGCAGAAACGCAUGGAGCGGAGAUGGGUGGCAGAAGAGAGGCCCAAGCGACUGUUUACCACAAACACAGGCGUCUGCUAAAGCGAAAGCUGAUGUAUAGAUGCUGACACCUGCCCGGUGCUGGAAGGUUAAGAGGAAGUGUUAGCGCAAGCGAAGCAGUGAAUUGAAGCCCCAGUAAACGGCGGCCGUAACUAUAACGGUCCUAAGGUAGCGAAAUUCCUUGUCGGGUAAGUUCCGACCCGCACGAAAGGUGUAACGAUUUGGGCACUGUCUCAACGAGGGACCCGGUGAAAUUGAAAUACCUGUGAAGAUGCAGGUUACCCGCGACUGGACAGAAAGACCCCAUGGAGCUUUACUGCAGCUUGAGAUUGAAUCCCGGUGGCAGACGCACAGGAUAGGUGGGAGGCUUUGAGAUAGUGACUUUGGUUGCUAUGGAGCCGACGUUGGGAUACCACCCUUCUGUUGCUGGGAUUCUAACGCGAAGAUUAACAACCUUGCGGACCAUCUCAGGUAGGCGGUUUGACUGGGGCGGUCGCCUCCGAAAGAGUAACGGAGGCGCCCAAAGGUUCCCUCAGGCCGGACAGAAACCGGCCGAAGAGUGCAAAGGCAGAAGGGAGCUUGACUGCGAGACAGACAAGUCGAGCAGAGACGAAAGUCGGGCUUAGUGAUCCGGUGGUACUGCGUGGAAAGGCCAUCGCUCAACGGAUAAAAGCUACCCUGGGGAUAACAGGCUAAUCUCUCCCAAGAGUUCAUAUCGACGGGGAGGUUUGGCACCUCGAUGUCGGCUCAUCACAUCCUGGGGCUGAAGU